UUAAGCGACUAAGCGUACACGGUGGAUGCCCUGGCAGUCAGAGGCGAUGAAGGACGUGCUAAUCUGCGAUAAGCGUCGGUAAGGUGAUAUGAACCGUUAUAACCGGCGAUUUCCGAAUGGGGAAACCCAGUGUGUUUCGACACACUAUCAUUAACUGAAUCCAUAGGUUAAUGAGGCGAACCGGGGGAACUGAAACAUCUAAGUACCCCGAGGAAAAGAAAUCAACCGAGAUUCCCCCAGUAGCGGCGAGCGAACGGGGAGCAGCCCAGAGCCUGAAUCAGUGUGUGUGUUAGUGGAAGCGUCUGGAAAGGCGCGCGAUACAGGGUGACAGCCCCGUACACAAAAAUGCACAUAUUGUGAGCUCGAUGAGUAGGGCGGGACACGUGGUAUCCUGUCUGAAUAUGGGGGGACCAUCCUCCAAGGCUAAAUACUCCUGACUGACCGAUAGUGAACCAGUACCGUGAGGGAAAGGCGAAAAGAACCCCGGCGAGGGGAGUGAAAAAGAACCUGAAACCGUGUACGUACAAGCAGUGGGAGCCUCUUUUAUGGGGUGACUGCGUACCUUUUGUAUAAUGGGUCAGCGACUUAUAUUCUGUAGCAAGGUUAACCGAAUAGGGGAGCCGAAGGGAAACCGAGUCUUAACUGGGCGUUAAGUUGCAGGGUAUAGACCCGAAACCCGGUGAUCUAGCCAUGGGCAGGUUGAAGGUUGGGUAACACUAACUGGAGGACCGAACCGACUAAUGUUGAAAAAUUAGCGGAUGACUUGUGGCUGGGGGUGAAAGGCCAAUCAAACCGGGAGAUAGCUGGUUCUCCCCGAAAGCUAUUUAGGUAGCGCCUCGUGAAUUCAUCUCCGGGGGUAGAGCACUGUUUCGGCAAGGGGGUCAUCCCGACUUACCAACCCGAUGCAAACUGCGAAUACCGGAGAAUGUUAUCACGGGAGACACACGGCGGGUGCUAACGUCCGUCGUGAAGAGGGAAACAACCCAGACCGCCAGCUAAGGUCCCAAAGUCAUGGUUAAGUGGGAAACGAUGUGGGAAGGCCCAGACAGCCAGGAUGUUGGCUUAGAAGCAGCCAUCAUUUAAAGAAAGCGUAAUAGCUCACUGGUCGAGUCGGCCUGCGCGGAAGAUGUAACGGGGCUAAACCAUGCACCGAAGCUGCGGCAGCGACACUAUGUGUUGUUGGGUAGGGGAGCGUUCUGUAAGCCUGUGAAGGUGUACUGUGAGGUAUGCUGGAGGUAUCAGAAGUGCGAAUGCUGACAUAAGUAACGAUAAAGCGGGUGAAAAGCCCGCUCGCCGGAAGACCAAGGGUUCCUGUCCAACGUUAAUCGGGGCAGGGUGAGUCGACCCCUAAGGCGAGGCCGAAAGGCGUAGUCGAUGGGAAACAGGUUAAUAUUCCUGUACUUGGUGUUACUGCGAAGGGGGGACGGAGAAGGCUAUGUUGGCCGGGCGACGGUUGUCCCGGUUUAAGCGUGUAGGCUGGUUUUCCAGGCAAAUCCGGAAAAUCAAGGCUGAGGCGUGAUGACGAGGCACUACGGUGCUGAAGCAACAAAUGCCCUGCUUCCAGGAAAAGCCUCUAAGCAUCAGGUAACAUCAAAUCGUACCCCAAACCGACACAGGUGGUCAGGUAGAGAAUACCAAGGCGCUUGAGAGAACUCGGGUGAAGGAACUAGGCAAAAUGGUGCCGUAACUUCGGGAGAAGGCACGCUGAUAUGUAGGUGAAGUCCCUCGCGGAUGGAGCUGAAAUCAGUCGAAGAUACCAGCUGGCUGCAACUGUUUAUUAAAAACACAGCACUGUGCAAACACGAAAGUGGACGUAUACGGUGUGACGCCUGCCCGGUGCCGGAAGGUUAAUUGAUGGGGUUAGCGCAAGCGAAGCUCUUGAUCGAAGCCCCGGUAAACGGCGGCCGUAACUAUAACGGUCCUAAGGUAGCGAAAUUCCUUGUCGGGUAAGUUCCGACCUGCACGAAUGGCGUAAUGAUGGCCAGGCUGUCUCCACCCGAGACUCAGUGAAAUUGAACUCGCUGUGAAGAUGCAGUGUACCCGCGGCAAGACGGAAAGACCCCGUGAACCUUUACUAUAGCUUGACACUGAACAUUGAGCCUUGAUGUGUAGGAUAGGUGGGAGGCUUAGAAGUGUGGACGCCAGUCUGCAUGGAGCCGACCUUGAAAUACCACCCUUUAAUGUUUGAUGUUCUAACGUGGACCCGUGAUCCGGGUUGCGGACAGUGUCUGGUGGGUAGUUUGACUGGGGCGGUCUCCUCCUAAAGAGUAACGGAGGAGCACGAAGGUUGGCUAAUCCUGGUCGGACAUCAGGAGGUUAGUGCAAUGGCAUAAGCCAGCUUGACUGCGAGCGUGACGGCGCGAGCAGGUGCGAAAGCAGGUCAUAGUGAUCCGGUGGUUCUGAAUGGAAGGGCCAUCGCUCAACGGAUAAAAGGUACUCCGGGGAUAACAGGCUGAUACCGCCCAAGAGUUCAUAUCGACGGCGGUGUUUGGCACCUCGAUGUCGGCUCAUCACAUCCUGGGGCUGAAGUAGGUCCCAAGGGUAUGGCUGUUCGCCAUUUAAAGUGGUACGCGAGCUGGGUUUAGAACGUCGUGAGACAGUUCGGUCCCUAUCUGCCGUGGGCGCUGGAGAAUUGAGGGGGACUGCUCCUAGUACGAGAGGACCGGAGUGGACGCAUCACUGGUGUUCGGGUUGUCAUGCCAAUGGCACUGCCCGGUAGCUAAAUGCGGAAGAGAUAAGUGCUGAAAGCAUCUAAGCACGAAACUUGCCCCGAGAUGAGUUCUCCCUGACCCUUUAAGGGUCCUGAAGGAACGUUGAAGACGACGACGUUGAUAGGCCGGGUGUGUAAGCGCAGCGAUGCGUUGAGCUAACCGGUACUAAUGAACCGUGAGGCUUAACCUU
rnacentral:rRNA from 1 species